rnacentral:rRNA from 1 species
GUGUCAGCAGCCGCGGUAAGACGUAGGAGGCGAGCGUUGUCCGGAUUCAUUGGGCGUAAAGAGCACGCAGGCGGUUUGGUAAGUCGGAUGUGAAAACCCGGAGCUCAACUCCGGGCCUGCAUCCGAAACUGCCCGACUAGAGGUAGGUAGGGGAGAUCGGAAUUCCUGGUGUAGCGGUGAAAUGCGCAGAUAUCAGGAGGAACACCGGUGGCGAAGGCGGAUCUCUGGGCCUUACCUGACGCUCAGGUGCGAAAGCUAGGGGAGCGAACAGGAUUAGAAACCCUUGUAGUCC